rnacentral:rRNA from 1 species
GAUGAACGCUGGCGGCGUGCCUAAUACAUGCAAGUCGAGCGAACAGAUAAGGAGCUUGCUCCUUUGACGUUAGCGGCGGACGGGUGAGUAACACGUGGAUAACCUACCUAUAAGACUGGGAUAACUUCGGGAAACCGGAGCUAAUACCGGAUAAGAUUUUGAACCGCAUGGUUCAAUAGUGAAAGACGGCCUUGCUGUCACUUAUAGAUGGAUCCGCGCCGUAUUAGCUAGUUGGUAAGGUAACGGCUUACCAAGGCAACGAUACGUAGCCGACCUGAGAGGGUGAUCGGCCACACUGGAACUGAGACACGGUCCAGACUCCUACGGGAGGCAGCAGUAGGGAAUCUUCCGCAAUGGGCGAAAGCCUGACGGAGCAACGCCGCGUGUGUGAUGAAGUUCUUCGGAUCGUAAACCUCUGUUAUCAGGGAAGAACAAACGUGUAAGUAACUGUGCACGUCUUGACGGUACCUGAUCAGAAAGCCACGGCUAACUACGUG